rnacentral:rRNA from 1 species
GACGAACGCUGGCGGCGUGCUUAACACAUGCAAGUCGAACGAAGUGGCGAACGGGUGAGUAACGCGUAAUCAACCUGCCCAUCAGAGGGGGACAACAGUUGGAAACGACUGCUAAUACCGCAUACUGAAGGGGGGGAUUGCGUCGGAUAAGCUCGGUGGAGGGGUAACGGCCCACCAAGGCGAUGAUCAGUAGCCGGGCUGGGAGGAUGAACGGCCAAAUUGGGACUGGGACACGGGCCAGAAUCCUACGGGAGGCAGCAGGUGGGAAUCUUCCGAAAUGGACGGAAGUCUGGCGGAGCAACGCCGCGGGAGUGAUGACGGCCUUCGGGUUGGAAAGCUCUGUUAAUCGGGACGCGGUACCGGAAUAGAAAGCCACGGCUAACUACGUGCCAGCAGCCGCGGUAAUUC